AGAGUUUGAUCCUGGCUCAGGAUGAACGCUGGCGGCGUGCCUAAUACAUGCAAGUCGAGCGAACGGACGAGAAGCUUGCUUCUCUGAUGUUAGCGGCGGACGGGUGAGUAACACGUGGAUAACCUACCUAUAAGACUGGGAUAACUUCGGGAAACCGGAGCUAAUACCGGAUAAUAUUUUGAACCGCAUGGUUCAAAAGUGAAAGACGGUCUUGCUGUCACUUAUAGAUGGAUCCGCGCUGCAUUAGCUAGUUGGUAAGGUAACGGCUUACCAAGGCAACGAUGCAUAGCCGACCUGAGAGGGUGAUCGGCCACACUGGAACUGAGACACGGUCCAGACUCCUACGGGAGGCAGCAGUAGGGAAUCUUCCGCAAUGGGCGAAAGCCUGACGGAGCAACGCCGCGUGAGUGAUGAAGGUCUUCGGAUCGUAAAACUCUGUUAUUAGGGAAGAACAUAUGUGUAAGUAACUGUGCACAUCUUGACGGUACCUAAUCAGAAAGCCACGGCUAACUACGUGCCAGCAGCCGCGGUAAUACGUAGGUGGCAAGCGUUAUCCGGAAUUAUUGGGCGUAAAGCGCGCGUAGGCGGUUUUUUAAGUCUGAUGUGAAAGCCCACGGCUCAACCGUGGAGGGUCAUUGGAAACUGGAAAACUUGAGUGCAGAAGAGGAAAGUGGAAUUCCAUGUGUAGCGGUGAAAUGCGCAGAGAUAUGGAGGAACACCAGUGGCGAAGGCGACUUUCUGGUCUGUAACUGACGCUGAUGUGCGAAAGCGUGGGGAUCAAACAGGAUUAGAUACCCUGGUAGUCCACGCCGUAAACGAUGAGUGCUAAGUGUUAGGGGGUUUCCGCCCCUUAGUGCUGCAGCUAACGCAUUAAGCACUCCGCCUGGGGAGUACGACCGCAAGGUUGAAACUCAAAGGAAUUGACGGGGACCCGCACAAGCGGUGGAGCAUGUGGUUUAAUUCGAAGCAACGCGAAGAACCUUACCAAAUCUUGACAUCCUUUGACAACUCUAGAGAUAGAGCCUUCCUCUUCGGGGGACAAAGUGACAGGUGGUGCAUGGUUGUCGUCAGCUCGUGUUGUGAGAUGUUGGGUUAAGUCCCGCAACGAGCGCAACCCUUAAGCUUAGUUGCCAUCAUUAAGUUGGGCACUCUAAGUUGACUGCCGGUGACAAACCGGAGGAAGGUGGGGAUGACGUCAAAUCAUCAUGCCCCUUAUGAUUUGGGCUACACACGUGCUACAAUGGACAAUACAAAGGGCAGCGAAACCGCGAGGUCAAGCAAAUCCCAUAAAGUUGUUCUCAGUUCGGAUUGUAGUCUGCAACUCGACUACAUGAAGCUGGAAUCGCUAGUAAUCGUAGAUCAGCAUGCUACGGUGAAUACGUUCCCGGGUCUUGUACACACCGCCCGUCACACCACGAGAGUUUGUAACACCCGAAGCCGGUGGAGUAACCUUUUAGGAGCUAGCCGUCGAAGGUGGGACAAAUGAUUGGGGUGAAGUCGUAACAAGGUAGCCGUAUCGGAAGGUGCGGCUGGAUCACCU
rnacentral:rRNA from 1 species